GUGGGGAAUAUUGGACAAUGGGCGCAAGCCUGAUCCAGCCAUACCGCGUGGGUGAAGAAGGCCUUCGGGUUGUAAAGCCCUUUUGUUGGGAAAGAAAUCCUGUCGGGUAAUACCUGGCGGGGAUGACGGUACCCAAAGAAUAAGCACCGGCUAACUUCGUGCCAGCAGCCGCGGUAAUACGAAGGGUGCAAGCGUUACUCGGAAUUACUGGGCGUAAAGCGUGCGUAGGUGGUGGUUUAAGUCCGUUGUGAAAGCCCUGGGCUCAACCUGGGAAUUGCAGUGGAUACUGGAUCACUAGAGUGUGGUAGAGGGAUGCGGAAUUUCUGGUGUAGCAGUGAAAUGCGUAGAGAUCAGAAGGAACAUCCGUGGCGAAGGCGGCAUCCUGGGCCAACACUGACACUGAGGCACGAAAGCGUGGGGAGCAAACAGGAUUAGAUACCCGAGUAGUCC
rnacentral:rRNA from 1 species